rnacentral:rRNA from 1 species
UACGGGGGGGGCAAGCGUUGUUCGGAAUUACUGGGCGGAAAGGGCUCGUAGGUGGCCAACUAAGUCAGACGUGAAAUCCCUCGGCUUAACCGGGGAACUGCGUCUGAUACUGGAUGGCUUGAGUUUGGGAGAGGGACGCGGAAUUCCAGGUGUAGCGGUGAAAUGCGUAGAUAUCUGGAGGAACACCGGUGGCGAAGGCGGCGUCCUGGACCAACACUGACACUGAGGAGCGAAAGCCAGGGGAGCAAACGGG